rnacentral:rRNA from 1 species
CAACUUCCCCAAACCCCUGUGAACAUACCUUUAUGUUGCCUCGGCGGAUCAGCCCGCGCCCCGUAAAACGGGACGGCCCGCCGCAGGAACCACAAAACUCUGAUUUUAGUGUAACUUCUGAGUCUAAAAAACAAAUAAAUCAAAACUUUCAACAACGGAUCUCUUGGUUCUGGCAUCGAUGAAGAACGCAGCAAAAUGCGAUAAGUAAUGUGAAUUGCAGAAUUCAGUGAAUCAUCGAAUCUUUGAACGCACAUUGCGCCCGCCAGUAUUCUGGCGGGCAUGCCUGUUCGAGCGUCAUUUCAACCCUCAAACCCCCGGGUUUGGUGUUGGGGAUCGGGCUGUACUCCAGCCCGGCCCCGAAAUCUAGUGGCGGUCUCGCUGCAGCCUCCAUUGCGUAGUAGCUAACACCUCGCAACUGGAACGCGGCGCGGCCAAGCCGUUAAACCCCCAACUUCUGAAUGUUGACCUCGGAUCAGGUAGGAAUACCCGCUGAACUUAAGCAUAUCAAUAAGCGGAGGAA